rnacentral:rRNA from 1 species
UAAGACAGAGGCCUCAAGCGUUAGGCGGAAUCACUGGGCUUAAAGCGUGUGUAGGCGGAUCGUUAAGUACCUUGUGAAAUCCCACGGCUCACCCGUGGAACUGCUGGGUAUACUGGCGAUCUUGGGCCAACUAGGGGCAACUGGAACAAGCGGUGGAGCGGUGAAAUGCGUAGAUAUCGCUUGGAACGCCAAUGGUGAAAACAGGUUGCUGGGGUUGUGCCGACGCUGAGACACGAAAGCCAGGGGAGCAAACGGGAUUAGAUACCCCGGUAGUCCUGGCCCUAAACGAUGUCCACUAGAUUGCGGCGGGUUUGACCCCGUCGCGGUCGAAGCAAAAGUGUUAAGUGGACCGCCUGGGAAGUACGGUCGCAAGGCUA